GACGAACGCUGGCGGCGUGCCUAACACAUGCAAGUCGAACGAAGCACUUGAGCUUGCUUGAGUGACUUAGUGGCGGACGGGUGAGUAAUACAUGAGCAACCUGCCUCAAAGAGGGGGGACAACAGUUGGAAACGACUGCUAAUACCGCAUGAUGUAUCGGGGAGGCAUCUUCCUGAUACCAAAGAUUUAUCGCUUUGAGAUGGGCUCAUGUCUGAUUAGCUAGUUGGUGAGGUAACGGCUCACCAAGGCUGCGAUCAGUAGCCGGACUGAGAGGUUGAACGGCCACAUUGGGACUGAGAUACGGCCCAGACUCCUACGGGAGGCAGCAGUGGGGGAAUAUUAGGCAAUGGGGGCAACCCUGGACCUAGCAACGCCG
rnacentral:rRNA from 1 species